CAUUACAGAAGAUUCGACACAAACCAUUAAAUUGGUUUGCGUCGAAUCGACUUACAAACGCUGGUCUUUUUC
rnacentral:rRNA from 1 species